rnacentral:misc_RNA from 1 species
UCCGGUUUGGCACCGGCAGUCCUCCCAGAGUCCUCGGCAUAACCCGGUAGCAACUAGCCCCGGGGGUUGCGCUCGUUGCGGGACUUAACCCAACACCUCACGGCACGAGCUGACGACAGCCAUGCAGCACCUGUGUUCCCGUUCCCUUUCGGGCACAGCCCCGUUUCCGGAGCCUCCAGGACAUGUCAAGGGUAGGUAAGGUUUUUCGCGUUGCAUCGAAUUAAUCCACAUAAUCCACCGCUUGUGCGGGUCCCCGUCAAUUCCUUUGAGUUUUAACCUUGCGGCCGUACUCCCCAGGCGGGGCACUUAAUGCGUUAGCUUCGGCACAGGAGGAGUCGACACCUCCCACACCUAGUGCCCAUCGUUUACGGCGUGGACUAC